AAAAAAGAAAUGGUUUGCUCCAAUUCUAGAUCACAUUCUUCAAGGUCAAAGUCUGGAUCACAAUCUAGUUCUUGAUCAAGAUCAAGAUCUCAUUCUAGAAGGAAGCAAUACAGUUCUAGGUCUCGUUCCAGAACAUAUUCAAGGUCUCGUAGUAGAGAUCGUAUGUAUGCCAGAGAUUAUCAUCGUGAUUACAGAAAUAAUAGAGGAAUGAGACAAUCUUAUGGGUACAGAGGAGGAGGUAGAUAUCAUUGAGGUGGUUAUAGACCUGUCUGGAAUAGAAGGCACUCUAGGAGUCCUAGAUGAGGUCAUUCACGUUCCAGGAGUCCAGAAAGAAGAUCUGUUUCUUCUCAAAGAUCCAGAAGCAGAUCUUACUGGUCAUAUAGAUCUUCUAGGUCUCCAAGAUCAUCCUCUUUUCCUUCUUCAUCUCCAUAUAGCAAAUCUCCUGUUUCUAAAAGACAAGAUGAGGGUCUCAGGAAAAACAAACCAAAAAAGCUGAAGGGGAACCCCAAGAAGAGAAUCUGUUGAAAAGUAAAUCACAGGAGGAACCGAAAGAUACAUUUGAACAUGACCCAUCUGAGUCUAUCAAUGAAUUUAAUAAGCCAUCAGCCACAUCUGAUGAUAUUUGGCCUGGCCUUUCAGCUUAUGAUAAUAGUCCCAGAUCACCCCAUAGUCCUUCAUCUAUUGCUACACCACCUAGUCAGAGUUCAUCUUGCUCUGAUCCUCCCAUGCUCAGUACAGUUCACUCUGCAAAAAAUACUCCUUCUCAGCAUUCACAUUCCAUUCAGCAUAGUCCUGAAAGGUCUGGUUCUGGUUCUGUUGGAAAUGGAUAUAGUCAAUAUCGUUCUUCUCAGAAUAGUCCAAUUAAUCACAUCCCUUCACGAAGAAGUCCUGUAAAGACAAUUGCACCACAGAAUGUUCCAAAAGAUGAGUCUAGGGGCCAUUCCUCAUUUUAUCCUGAUGGUGGAGAUCAGGAAACUCAAAGACUGGGAAGUUCUGAAAAAGGUUCACAGAUGAAGAGUCUAGAGUAUUCCUGCUUGAUAGGGGUAAUAACAGCGAUAAAGAGGCUUCAAAAGAGACAGGAUCAGAGAAACGGAGGGCAGAGGGAGAAUGGGAAGAUCAGGAAGCUCUAGAUUACUUCACUGAUAAAGAGUCUGGAAAACAAAAGUUUAAUGAUUCAGAAGGGGAUGAUAUAGAGGAGACAGAGGAUUACAGACAGUUCAGGAAGUCAGUCCUCGCAGAUCAGGGUAAAAGUUUUGCUACUGCAUCUCACUGGAAUACUGAGGAGGAAGGACUCAAGUACAAGUCCAAAGUUUCAGUGAAAGGCAAUAGAGACAGUGAUGGAUUUAGAGAAAAAAAAAAUUGUAAACUUAAACAGACUGGAUAUGUAGUGGAAAGGCCUAGCACUACAAAAGAUAAGCACAAAGAAGAAGACAAAAAUUCUGAAAGAAUAACAACAGUAAAGAAUGAAACUCAGUCACCUGAGCAGGUAAAGUCUGAAAAGCUCAAAGACCGCUUUGAUUACAGUCCCCCUCUACACAAGAAUCUGGAUGCAUGAGAAAAGUCUACUUUCAGAGAGGAAAACCCACUUAGGAUCAAAAUGAUAGCGAGUGAUUCUCAUCAUCCUGAAUUCAGACUCAAAAUGGCACGCGUUCCUCUUGAUGAUUCUAACAGACCUGCUUCCUUGACUAAAGACAGGCUGCUUGCUAGUACACUUGUCCAUUCUGUCAAGAAGGAGCAAGAAUUCUGAUCCAUCUUUGACCCCAUUAAGUUGCCACAGGCCAGCAACAGCACUUCAGAGUCAUUUAUUCAACACAUUGUGUCCUUAGUUCAUCAUGUUGAAGAGCAAUACUUCAAGUUAGCUGCAAUGACUCUAAACGAGCAGUUCACUUCGCAUCAGAAAGCCACUGAAGAACAUAGUACUCGACAAAAGAGCCCUGAAAUACACAGAAGAAUUGACAUCUCACCAAGUACCCUGAGGAAGCAUACCCGUUUAGCAGGGGAAGAGAGAGUUUUUAAAGAAGAAAAUCAAAAGGGAGAUAAAAAAUUAAGGUGUGACUCUGCUGACUUUUGGCAUGACAUUGAUCGCUGUAGAAAAGAAAGAAGAACAGGGAGAUUCCAAGGGCUCCAGGGAAUCCAGUGGAUCAAGAAAGCAGGAAAAAAACUCCAAAAGAUUACAAGGAAUACAAAUCUUACAAGAUGAGAGUAAACAUAAAAGUAGAGAGCAAGAUCAUUCUCGAUCUUCAUCCUCUUCAGCAUCACCUUCUUCUCCCAGUUCUAGAGAAGAAAAGGAGAGUAAGAAGGAAAGAGAAGAAAAAUUUAAAACUCACCAUGAAAUGGAAGAAUACUCAGGUUUUGCAGGAAUUAGCUGACCAUGAAGAACCUUUUUUCGAAUUAGAGGCAGAGGAAGAGCCAGAGGAGUUUUUGCUGGCACAAAUACUGGUCCAAACAACUCAAAUACUACCAUUCAAAAGAGACUGAAGGAAGAGGAAUGGGAUCCAGAAUAUACCCCAAAGAGCAAAAAGUACUUCUUGCAUGAUGACAGAGAUGAUGGUGUGGAUUAUUGGGCCAAAAGAAGAAAAGGUCGUGGUACUUUUCAAUGUGGCAAAGGGUGCUUUAACUUCAAAAAAUCAGGUAGCAGUCCUAAAUGGAAUCAUGACAGAUACCAAAGGGAUGGGAUUGUUGGAGAUAAAGAAGAGACCAUGGAAAAUAAUGAAGAAAAGAAGGACAGGUGCAAGGAAGAAAAGGAAUAACAGAUAUGAAGUAAGAUUACAACAGAGCAGAACUUGCACCCACCAUUUUUUUUUUACUUGAUUUUUGUUUUCGAAUAAGAAUGUAAGCAUUUUACUUAAAUUUUACUGUUUGCAAGUAGUCUAUAGAAAUUUUGUUUUAAGUCUUCAAAUAUCUUGAGAAAUAGUAGACUGUAUGUUGAAAAUUGUACUGAAAUAAAGUAGAAAAUUGUUACGUACCAUAUUUGUAACUAUCAACUUAAAAAAAAAACUUUUAACAUUUUUGUUACAUGCAUUGUAAUUCUGCUUUGUCUAUAAGAUAUGGUCAAGCACAGCUCUGUGAAAGUUCUGAUUCU